rnacentral:rRNA from 1 species
AUACGGAGGAUGCGAGCGUUAUCCGGAUUUAUUGGGUUUAAAGGGUGCGUAGGCGGUUUUUUAAGUCAGCGGUGAAACGCAAGGGCUCAACCCUUGACCUGCCGUUGAAACUGGAGGACUUGAAUGCGGAUGCUGUGGGAGGAAUGUGUGGUGUAGCGGUGAAAUGCAUAGAUAUCACACAGAACACCGAUUGCGAAGGCAUCUCACAAAUCCGUGAUUGACACUGAGGCACGAAAGUGUGGGGAGCAAACAGGAUUAGAUACCCUGGUAGGCCACACUGUAAACGAUGAUGACUCGCUGUCGGCGAUAUACAGUCGGUGGCCAAGCGAAAGCGAUAAGUCAUCCACCUGGGGAGUACGACCGCAAGGUUGAAACUCAAAGGAAUUGACGGGG